GACGAACCGUGCGAACGUUGUUCGGAAUCACUGGGCUUAAAGGGCGCGUAGGCGGGCGGCCAAGUCCGGGGUGAAAGCCCCCAGCUCAACUGGGGAAGUGCCUUGGAAACUGGUCGUCUUGAGGGAGGUAGGGGCAUGUGGAACUUCGGGUGGAGCGGUGAAAUGCGUAGAUAUCCGGAGGAACACCGGUGGCGAAGGCGGCUUCCUGGACCGACACUGACGCUGAGGCGCGAAAGCUAGGGGAGCAAAGCGGGG
rnacentral:rRNA from 1 species